rfam:Flavobacterium sp. ABG contig43, whole genome shotgun sequence.
ACGAUGAAGAGUUUGAUCCUGGCUCAGGAUGAACGCUAGCGGCAGGCUUAACACAUGCAAGUCGAGGGGUAGAGUUCUUCGGAGCUUGAGACCGGCGCACGGGUGCGUAACGCGUAUGCAAUCUACCUUUUACAGAGGGAUAGCCCAGAGAAAUUUGGAUUAAUACCUCAUAGUAUAAUUGAAUGGCAUCAUUUAAUUAUUAAAGUCACAACGGUAAAAGAUGAGCAUGCGUCCCAUUAGCUAGUUGGUAAGGUAACGGCUUACCAAGGCUACGAUGGGUAGGGGUCCUGAGAGGGAGAUCCCCCACACUGGUACUGAGACACGGACCAGACUCCUACGGGAGGCAGCAGUGAGGAAUAUUGGACAAUGGGCGCAAGCCUGAUCCAGCCAUGCCGCGUGCAGGAUGACGGUCCUAUGGAUUGUAAACUGCUUUUGUACAGGAAGAAACACUGGUUCGUGAACCAGCUUGACGGUACUGUAAGAAUAAGGAUCGGCUAACUCCGUGCCAGCAGCCGCGGUAAUACGUAGGGCGCAAGCGUUGUCCGGAAUUAUUGGGCGUAAAGAGCUCGUAGGCGGUUUGUCGCGUCUGGUGUGAAAACUCAAGGCUCAACCUUGAGCUUGCAUCGGGUACGGGCAGACUAGAGUGUGGUAGGGGUGACUGGAAUUCCUGGUGUAGCGGUGGAAUGCGCAGAUAUCAGGAGGAACACCGAUGGCGAAGGCAGGUCACUGGGCCACUACUGACGCUGAGGAGCGAAAGCAUGGGGAGCGAACAGGAUUAGAUACCCUGGUAGUCCAUUUUUUGAGGCAGCAGUGAGGAAUAUUGGACAAUGGGCGCAAGCCUGAUCCAGCCAUGCCGCGUGCAGGAUGACGGUCCUAUGGAUUGUAAACUGCUUUUGUACAGGAAGAAACACUGGUUCGUGAACCAGCUUGACGGUACUGUAAGAAUAAGGAUCGGCUAACUCCGGGCCAGCAGCCGCGGUAAUACGGAGGAUCCAAGCGUUAUCCGGAAUCAUUGGGUUUAAAGGGUCCGUAGGCGGUUUGGUAAGUCAGUGGUGAAAGCCCAUCGCUCAACGGUGGAACGGCCAUUGAUACUGCUAGACUUGAAUUAUUAGGAAGUAACUAGAAUAUGUAGUGUAGCGGUGAAAUGCUUAGAGAUUACAUGGAAUACCAAUUGCGAAGGCAGGUUACUACUAAUAUAUUGACGCUGAUGGACGAAAGCGUGGGUAGCGAACAGGAUUAGAUACCCUGGUAGUCCACGCCGUAAACGAUGGAUACUAGCUGUUGGAAGCAAUUUCAGUGGCUAAGCGAAAGUGAUAAGUAUCCCACCUGGGGAGUACGUUCGCAAGAAUGAAACUCAAAGGAAUUGACGGGGGCCCGCACAAGCGGUGGAGCAUGUGGUUUAAUUCGAUGAUACGCGAGGAACCUUACCAAGGCUUAAAUGUAGAUUGACCGGUUUGGAAACAGACUUUUCGCAAGACAAUUUACAAGGUGCUGCAUGGUUGUCGUCAGCUCGUGCCGUGAGGUGUCAGGUUAAGUCCUAUAACGAGCGCAACCCCUGUUGUUAGUUGCCAGCGAGUCAUGUCGGGAACUCUAACAAGACUGCCAGUGCAAACUGUGAGGAAGGUGGGGAUGACGUCAAAUCAUCACGGCCCUUACGCCUUGGGCUACACACGUGCUACAAUGGCCGGUACAGAGAGCAGCCACUGGGCGACCAGGAGCGAAUCUACAAAACCGGUCACAGUUCGGAUCGGAGUCUGCAACUCGACUCCGUGAAGCUGGAAUCGCUAGUAAUCGGAUAUCAGCCAUGAUCCGGUGAAUACGUUCCCGGGCCUUGUACACACCGCCCGUCAAGCCAUGGAAGCUGGGGGUGCCUGAAGUCGGUGACCGCAAGGAGCUGCCUAGGGUAAAACUGGUAACUAGGGCUAAGUCGUAACAAGGUAGCCGUACCGGAAGGUGCGGCUGGAACACCUCCUUU